GAUGAACGCUGGCGGCGUGCCUAAUACAUGCAAGUCGAGCGAACAGACGAGGAGCUUGCUCCUCUGACGUUAGCGGCGGACGGGGGAGUAACACGUGGAUAACCUACCUAUAAGACUGGGAUAACUUCGGGAAACCGGAGCUAAUACCGGAUAAUAUAUUGAACCGCAUGGUUCAAUAGUGAAAGACGGUUUUGCUGUCACUUAUAGAUGAAUCCGCGCCGCAUUAGCUAGUUGGUAAGGUAACGGCUUACCAAGGCAACGAUGCGUAGCCGACCUGAGAGGGUGAUCGGCCACACUGGAACUGAGACACGGUCCAGACUCCUACGGGAGGCAGCAGUAGGGAAUCUUCCGCAAUGGGCGAAAGCCUGACGGAGCAACGCCGCGUGAGUGAUGAAGGUCUUCGGAUCGUAAAACUCUGUUAUUAGGGAAGAACAAAUGUGUAAGUAACUAUGCACGUCUUGACGGUACCUAAUCAGAAAGCCACGGCUAACUACGU
rnacentral:rRNA from 1 species